UCACUAUUUGAGGAAGCUAUUUUAAGAGAAUUCAAUUUAGUCUUGAAGAGUUACAUAAAAGAAUAACUAAAUUAGUUUAAAAAUAUUAUACUUAAAACACAUUGGAGAUCAGAAGUACUAAAAUUAUAAAUUAUAAUAUACGUGCAUUGUCACAAAUGUCACACCCCCUCAGAAAAUCAUUUUUUAUAUAAGUUUGCCUGGAACGACUACUUUCUUUUGGGGGGGUUAAUUUGCUGAAUUGGGAUGAAUUAAUUAUCUUAAGGGAAAAAUCAAUGCAUUUUUUGGGGAAAAGUAUCAAGAAAGAAUGUUAAAAGUUGCCUUUUUUAUGAAAUUGUGAUUUUUUGUGUUUAUAGAUUUGGUAAUGGCCUACCAAAUAUGUAAUUAUGUUGGAUAAAAACAUUGCUUAAUUAUUACUAAUUCUGUUAAGAUCCCUGACUACAGCGAAAGGUUGGGUUUAGGCUGGGUUAAACCCCACAUUUCUAAAAGAAAUCCUACUGGAGAAUGUCCAAUCAGCUGUUACAUCUGUAAAACAGGGCAAUUUAAUCCAGUUCAAGAGAAUUAUAAAUCUGAUGAGAAGGAAGGAAGGAAGCAAGGAAGGAUACAGCUAUGUACGACAUGCUUUACUGAAAUACAUGUUGGAAAAGUCCAUAGUUGUUACGCAUACAGGGUUUCUGACAACAUUGUGAACCUUGUCCAAACAGUUCCUGCUAAGUCACGGGAAAAGAUUAAAAUAAUUUUAAAAUCUUUUAGGAUAACAAGUUAUAAAAAAUUUAGAAAAACUGUAGAUUUUUUGUUGAUUUUAUCCUAUAAUCAUUCAUGAACUACAAAUGGUAUAAUUGCUAGUUAUAAACCAAGGUUUGUGAA